CAGGAAGUGGUCCAACGGCUCCUUGCACAUGCUUUAGAUUUCGUUCUAAGGAGGAGGUCCCAGUGAAGCGGUCCGUGGCAGAACUGGCGGGGAAGUUUAAAAAUGUCGUCCCUGACAAUGAGCCAGCACCCAAGCCGGUCAGACUUCGCCCUCCCCGGUCCUUACAGAUCCAGUUACAGCACCCUGCAGAACAAGAGAAAGCAGAAGGCGCCACCACCCAGCUCGCUGCAGGACGACCCAAGCGGAACUCUGCCCUCAUAGAGAAGUUACAGGCUAACUUAGCCCUCUCUCCCUCUGCCCUUCUGACAUCGCCCUUGAGCCCCGGCUUCAAGUUCUCCCCCAAGCUUUCACUCCCCCUCCCCUGCCGCCCCGUUUCCUGUCACACCCCGUUUUCGGGUAACGCCGGUGACACCCACCAGCCCGCUGGCUGUCCUCACACCUCAGAGCGAGGAGGAAGCCCCCGCUUCCUUCGAAACCCCCCCCAGCGCCCAGGAAGGAGCCGUGCUCGUCAGCAUCAUUAAGACCAGGGCCCGCCUCUCCAUCAAGAGACGGCCUCCCUCCCGGCGCAACAGGACGGCCAGCAGCGGGGAGGAAGGGGGCGUGUCCCCCAGCACGGAGGACACGCCCCCUCUGGCCCCCUCCAGCCAGCCAGGGGAGGAGGAGCCAAAGGGUGAAGGAGAUGACGAAGGGGCGGCGCCGAGGAGCCAGGAGGGGCUCGAUGGGGAGGAGGCCCCCAGCGAGGGGCUCCCCGGACCCCCGUCGGCGAUGGAUCAGGAGGGACAUGCAGUCACACAGACGGGAACUCCUCCAGAGCCUCUGAACAGCACUGAGACCAAGG
ensembl:lncRNA